CGCCGCCACGGACAGCAGCGCCACCACGCUGACGCUCGCAGCACCAGAGGGCGCCACCGGCGACAACGCCACGGAGAGUGAGACGGCGCAAGGGGAGUGAGAUGGCGGGAAUGGGGUGAUUGAAACGGCGAGGGAAGGAGGAUUUGGUCGACAAGGAAGGAGGGUUUGGGACGGCGAGGGAAGGAGAAUUUGGAACAGCGGGGAAGGGGGUAAGGGAGGCGGCAGUGACGGGAGGAGAUUCGAUCAGCCUCGCCUUCACGGAGUCGCCUGCCUUCCCACAGCUGCCGUUCUUCGGUGCGAUAGACGACCCGUGUCCCGGCGGCGUGGUGAUGUGUGGAGAGUACACAGACUACACUGCAUGUACGACGACGUGUGAGCAGGGUGCCGGUAUGCAGUUGAGGACUAGGAACUGCGUCUGUGAGAGGACGUUUGAUAAGUACUCGCUAGGGUUUCGACUCUGCUACAACCGCGUGGGCCGUGGAAGCAGGACAGGCGGCUGCGAUCUAUAUGCCACGGCCGAACUCCGCGUCUGUACCACAGCCCAACAGUGUACCGACAGCAGCGCCACCACCGCAGCGACAGAAGGCGCCGAUGAGCGUUAGUUAUUCGCUGUCAUCUAUAGCUGAAGUUGAGCUAUUAGCUCAAACCUAUAUAGCUAUAUAGCUAUAUAUACUUAUUAGCUAAAAAAUAUAUAGCAGUCUAGUAGCCGGAGCGCAUAAAGUACGAGUGUUCCCUAAACGUUCCACGCGUACCAGCGGUUGCUAAUAAUAAACUCGUAAACAUCUAGAGUUGUGAGCUACAGACUAGCACUGAAUUCGCCUUAAGUAAAUGAAUGGUCGCCUUAGUUAAAUACUAGCUGUUAGUUAAAACCCAAGUGGUCCUGGAGUAACAAUUAAAUACGGUACUUCUAUUGACUAGCAAGUGAUAUGAAGUAUACCACAUGCGUAAGCUGAUACAUAGCAAAAGUUGUGGCUGUAUUAUGUGCAGUACACUAGGUAAUAAGCGGAAUACCGGAUAGCUUCCAAGUACCACACACGCUCGCUAUAUUAUGAUAAUAUAAUUAUUAUAAUUCAUAAAUUUCUUGUUCGUGCCACAUAGGUAAUUUUUUUUUUAAAUACAAAGCUAGUAAACAUUACUUGACCUCACCAGUUUAGCUUUAGCCGUCUAUGUAUCUCUGUAUCUAUCUAUUCAUUUAUGAAAGAUAGUCACUUAUCGCGAUCAAUUCGCGUGUAAUAAUUGAUAUUGUUUUCGAUUAAUUGCCUUCAUGAUUGUCAUUUUGAGAUGAAUGUAAAUUCCAAAGCUCGAUACCUCACGAAGGCUGUUGAAAUGCAGUGCGUCGCUCUAAAUCGGACUAUAACACUUCAGAAUAAGAAAAUGUGGCUGAUAAAAAUGUACACUGUAUGAAUGGGAAAUGUCUAUUUCAUAAUAUAUGUAUGUGUAUAGUCGUCGGUCAUACACCAGUGCUGGUGGUCUGGCGGUAAUGCAAGACUAAAUGUCUAUGCACAUUGCGCUCUUUCCACACUGCCGUUUUUUGGACCUGUUACACUAUUGACGCUAUGUGCAUUCAUAAGGGGACGAUAUAUAGCGCCGUGGUCGGAAUUUGACUAGAGAGAUUAAUUUAGAACGAAAUCUUAUAAGAAGUAGAAAUGACUUAUCCUGCAUGCUCUCUUAUAUAAUGUAUAUCAAGCCAUUAUCUGUUAAAAUAUAAAUGAUUCGCGUAAGAGGUAGAAAGCUGAAGAUCCGAAGGUCAUGUUUAGAAUUUCGAAUUUUUUAGCAUUUAGUCAUUAUAUCCAGCGGCAUAGUACGCGUCCGGUUUUUUUUUGAGGUUUGAGUCACACGUGUCUCGUAUAUAUACAUAAACUAUUAUAUCACUUCAUAUGAGGUAAAUAUAGCUACGAGUUAUCACACGCGGCGCGGGGGGGGGGGUCGAUACAAGUUAGUAUGGUGGAUUCAACCAAUAAAGGCAACAGUUUUUAAUGAAA
rnacentral:lncRNA from 1 species